CCCUUAGAUGUUCUGGGCUGCACACGCGCUACACUGGCAGGUUCAGCGAGCUUCUUGCCCUGAUCUGAGAAGAAUGGGAAACCUUUUCAACACCUGCCGUGCUUGGGAUAGAUGUUUGCAAUUAUUCAUCUUCAACAAGGAUUGCCUUGUAGGCGUGCCUCAUCAGGGCACAUCGAAUACGACCCUGUAUUCUGUACACACCGCCCGUCGCUCCUACCGAUUGAGCAAUCCGGUGAAUAUUUCGGACCUAGAAUUGUCGGGGCAACUCGUUCAGUUUUGGGAAAGUCAAGUUAACCUUAUUGCUUAGAGGAAGGAGAANUCGUAACA
rnacentral:rRNA from 1 species